GCCCGCCUAGCUCAAUCGGAUAGAGCGUCAGACUCUUAUGACAGCUAGUUGUGGUUUCAUCUGAAGGCUGCGAGUUCGACCCUCGCGGUGGGCU
rfam:Phlebia centrifuga strain FBCC195 PHLCENscaffold_2701, whole genome shotgun sequence.